GAUGAAAACGUAGUGAAAUGCGAUAAGUAAUGUGAAUUGCAGAAUUCAGUGAAUCAUCGAAUCUUUGAACGCACAUUGCGCCCCCUGGUAUUCCGGGGGGCAUGCCUGUUCGAGCGUCAUUUCACCACUCAAGCCUCGCUUGGUAUUGGGCAACGCGGUCCGCCGCGUGCCUCAAAUCGACCGGCUGGGUCUUCUGUCCCCUAAGCGUUUUGGAAACUAUUCGCUAAAGGGUGCUCGGGAGGCUACGCCGUAAAACAAACCCAUUUCUAAGGUUGACCUCGGAUCAGGUAGGGAUACCCGCUGAACUUAAGCAUAUCAAUAAGCGGAGGA
rnacentral:misc_RNA from 1 species